GUUAGAUGGCGUGCUUUCACUAAAAGACUGAAAAUGAGAUAUUACUAUUUACGGAGAAAGAAGUACCCUAGACACUGAUCUGAGGUCAGACUUGGUGUUUUAGUCCUACAAAGGGGGCCUGACAGGAUUGGAAAAGUUGGAUAAAGACGAAGUAGCCCCAAGACACUGAUCUGAGGUCAGAUUUGUGUUUUUGGCCUGUAAGUAGGCCCUGACAGGAUUGGAUAGGUGCAAUCAAGGUGUAGAAAUGUCCACAGAGCCUUUCAAAGAGUACGGUGGACCUACAGUACAGCUUUAAUACAGGUCCUAAUGGCUGUCCUGGGAUCAGAUUACCCUGACUAAAUACUAACCAAACCAUUAAAGAGUAAGGUGGAUCUACAGUACAGCUUUAAUACAGGUCCUAAUGGCUGUCCUAGGAUCAUUACCUGACUAAAUACUAACCAAACCAUUAAAGAUCUAAAUCAUAUCAGAUAUACAGGGGCCAAUAUGGAAUGUAGUAUGUUGCUUUAUGAUGAGUCACUCACCCACUGUAGGUCUCUGAAACACAGGAGUACUCUGUGCAGCUCUGACCAGCUCGUCUUUGUAGGAAGUCAGCAGUUGGGUCUGGACUCUUUCUCCCAUGAUCCUUUGCUGAUACUCCUCUGGGUUCUAACCGGUGGGACUGGCUGAUGAGGUGGUAAAUGUAGUCAUUGGACUUUUUUCUGUUAUGUAACAUUCUACACGUUGGAGUUUGACCUGAGCAAGGCUCUACAACAGGAUAUUUAGUGAUUUCUCAAUCUUUAGUAUUUUUUAAUAUUAGGAAAUAAGCAAGUCAAGAAUAGUUAAGAACUUACUCUGACACACAUCCAUCUCAGCUCAGCCGGGGAUAAGGAGACUCUCACAACAAUCCUUCUCUCUAUCAGGUGAACCAACACUUGUAGGCUACACACAUUCUAGACUGGUGCCGUAGUAAGUAUGUGAGGUCAACCUCCCUCCCUUCUGGGUCUCUUACCUCUAAGAAUCUAAACGCUGUAUUACCUGUGCCAGUUGUCGAGACAACAUCAGAUAAACACCUGUAAUGACACGCCCCUCUAAUGCUCCAGAAUGAUAUGAAUAUACCAUGUCACUACAGAGUUCUCAAACAAACACAAGACCAGAUAGCGAGCACGAGGAAAGCAACAAACUAGUCUAACAGGAUGUAACGUUACAUUUGUUUUCCCUUCAUGAAUAGGCACCAUGUCUGAAAGGCACUUCCAGAUUGUUGAAGGUGUAGUCAUAGCUGUACUGUUCGUGUUAUUAUCCUGUGUUAGUAAUGGUUUGUAUCUGGCACUAAGCAGGAGUGAACUAUGAAUGGGUGUGGUGCCUCACAGCUUGGUUUCAGUUCAGGGAAAAUAUAACUUAAAUUACCACCACAUUAACUGAGGCAGCAGAGACAGACGGGACAAAGUAACAGGUAGGUGUUGAAUGGUUUAGUUUGAUGAAAUUCGAUUUGAAUCAAGGAUACCUGAACAAUGUGUAUGAACGGAUACACGCUAACGUCCCAAGUACUGCUUUGUAAAUGAGGAAAACACGGGGGGACUUUCCUAUAUCUAGGAGAUAUGGACACAUAAAAACUACCGACAUAACUACCACAAAACUACCUACAUACCUCCAUUCAUUUUUUAAAAAUGGUACCAGUUACUUUAGAUGAGUCCCGUCACAUACCAUUGUGCUUGUGAGAAUCCCACCUUUUCCAUAGUGGAGUCAUAUUAGUUUGUAGCCCAAACCGUUCAGACGCUACAGACAGAAGUUGGCACAUCGGCGGUACUGACUUCAGGCAAGUCUGAUAACACGUGUGGGGGUCGUAGAGCAAAACGAAGAACAUCGUUUGUAGGCCAAACCGUUCGGACGCUACAGCCGUUUUAGUGAGAAGACUGAUUUUUGCAUGCCACAUGGUCUGACAAACACCGCUGUAUCUCGGCCACCUUCCUCCACCGCAGAUGCAGAAGUCCGAUAUAGGCGGAGUUGGUAGAUUGAGAAGCAGUGGAAAACAGAAAAGAAAACGCUGCACACAUUUCCAUGACUUUGCCUACAUCUCCAGCGCCUGCGGAAAGUGCCUGGAUACACCCUCUUCAUUGAGUUGAAUUGAGUUCAGGAUAAACAACAGAGGAAAAGUACAUCAACAUGAUGUCUUCAGCUGCUGAUAAGCCAGAUUGUGCGCUGAUGGUGGUUACUGUUGGAUUCUUGACGUUGAUCAUUGGAAUCGCUGUUGGAGUGAAACUGAAGGUGGCCACAGACCGGUUCGUUCAACAACAUCUAUGGAAGGUUUAUGUCUUUGUCCCUGUUUUUGUUGUUGCUUCUAUCAUGGUGGUUCUGAACUUGAAGAAACAGGAAGUAUAGAGGGAUACUGAAGCAUGACUCCUACAAUUAGCAAACACUUCUCUGUCAGUCACACAAAACUAUUGAAUGAAUGACUGAUUUGUAUGUUAUGUACAUUUGUUAUAAAUAGCAAUAAAAUACUUUUACAAAAUGUAUGUGUCCAUUGCUGAUUGAAAAGGGACGGCAGGUAACCUAGCUGUUGAGAUUGUUGGGCCAGUAACUGAAAGGUCGCUGGUUUGA
rnacentral:lncRNA from 1 species